rnacentral:rRNA from 1 species
CCUACGGGUGGCUGCAGUAGGGAAUAUUGCGCAAUGGAGGAAACUCUGACGCAGCGACGCCGCGUGGGUGACGAAGGCCUUCGGGUCGUAAAGCCCUGUCGAAAGGGAAGAAAAACAUAUUGGCUAACAUCCAAUGUGCUUGACGGUACCUUUAGAGGAAGCACCGGCUAACUACGUGCCAGCAGCCGCGGUAAUACGUAGGGUGCUAGCGUUGUUCGGAAUCAUUGGGCGUAAAGCGCGUGUAGGUUGUUAGGUAAGUCGAUUGUGAAAUCCCU